rnacentral:rRNA from 1 species
UGUCUAAGUAUAAGCAAUCAUACUGUGAAACUGCGAAUGGCUCAUUAAAUCAGUUAUCGUUUAUUUGAUAGUACCUUUACCUGGAUAACCGUGGUAAUUCUAGAGCUAAUACAUGCUAAAAACCCCGACUUCGGAAGGGGUGUAUUUAUUAGAUAAAAAACCAAUGCCCUCUGGGCUCCUUGGUGAUUCAUAAUAACUAAACGAAUCGCAUGGCCUUGCGCCGGCGAUGGUUCAUUCAAAUUUCUGCCCUAUCAACUUUCGAUUGUAGGAUAGAGGCCUACAAUGGUUUUAACGGGUGACGGGGAAUUAGGGUUCGACUCCGGAGAGGGAGCCUGAGAAACGGCUACCACAUCCAAGGAAGGCAGCAGGCGCGCAAAUUACCCAAUGCCGAUACGGCGAGGUAGUGACAAUAAAUACUGAUACGGGGCUCUUUCGGGUCUCGUAAUUGGAAUGAGUACAAUCUAAAUCCCUUAACGAGGAACAAUUGGAGGGCAAGUCUGGUGCCAGCAGCCGCGGUAAUUCCAGCUCCAAUAGCGUAUAUUAAAGUUGUUGCCGUUAAAAAGCUCGUAGUUGAACCUUGGACCUGGCUGAUCUGUCCUCCUAAUCGAGCGCACGGAUUCGGUCGGGUCUUUCCUUCUGGGGAGCCCUAUGCCCUUCACUGGGUGUAGUGGGGAACCAGGACUUUUACCUUGAAAAAAUUAGAGUGUUCAAAGCAGGCCUUUGCUCGAAUACAUUAGCAUGGAAUAAUAGAAUAGGACAUCGGUUCUAUUUUGUUGGUUUCUAGGACCGCUGUAAUGAUUAAUAGGGAUAGUCGGGGGCGUCUGUAUUCAAUUGUCAGAGGUGAAAUUCUUGGAUUUAUUGAAGACAAACUACUGCGAAAGCAUUCGCCAAGGAUGUUUUCAUUAAUCAGUGAACGAAAGUUAGGGGAUCGAAGACGAUCAGAUACCGUCGUAGUCUUAACCAUAAACUAUGCCGACUAGGGAUCGGACGGUGGUUUUUUUAUGCCCCGUUCGGCACCUUACGAGAAAUCAAAGUUUUUGGGCUCGGGGGGGAAUAUGGUCCCAAGGCUGAA